rnacentral:rRNA from 1 species
AGAGUUUGAUCAUGGCUCAGGAUGAACGCUAGCUACAGGCUUAACACAUGCAAGUCGAGGGGAAACGACAUCGAAAGCUUGCUUUUGAUGGGCGUCGACCGGCGCACGGGUGAGUAACGCGUAUCCAACCUGCCCACCACUUGGGGAUAACCUUGCGAAAGUAAGACUAAUACCCAAUGAUAUCUCUAGAAGACAUCUGAAAGAGAUUUAAAGAUUUAUCGGUGAUGGAUGGGGAUGCGUCUGAUUAGCUUGUUGGCGGGGUAACGGCCCACCAAGGCGACGAUCAGUAGGGGUUCUGGAGAGGAAGGUCCCCCANAUUGGAACUGGAGACACGGUCCAAACGUCCUACGGGAGGCA